rnacentral:rRNA from 1 species
UACGUAGGGGGCAAGCGUUGUCCGGAAUCAUUGGGCGUAAAGAGCGUGUAGGCGGCCCGAUAAGUCCGCUGUGAAAGUCCAGGGCUCAACCCUGGAAUGCCGGUGGAUACUGUCGGGCUCGAAUCCGGAAGAGGUGAGUGGAAUUCCUGGUGUAGCGGUGAAAUGCGCAGAUAUCAGGAGGAACACCAAUGGCGAAGGCAGCUCACUGGGGCGGUAUUGACGCUGAGACGCGAAAGCGUGGGGAGCAAACAGG